UUUGUUACCUCUUGACGGUCAGCUAUAAAAUUCGGCCAGAAUUUUUUACCUUGUCAGAAACAAACAAGAUGUCAAUUAACGAGUUCCAAGCUUUGCAAAUUUUCAAUCUUUUUGGAUUGCUGUACAAUUUCUCCCGGAGGUUUGCUCAAAUUCCAGUGGCGAAAAUCCCACCAUUCUUGCAAGGAGGACGCCAACUUUACCUUUGCAAUUAUUAAAAGAGAACUAGAUUAAGAUAAAUUCCCGUCCAAAUCUGCAAUAUUCUCCAAUUAAAUUAAAAACCGGGAAACGCUCGGCUAGGCAGACUUUUCCACUAAUGAUUUAUGGAGGGUGCUAUCCCCCGAAUUUCGACCCGUAUUGGGGAUACCGUGUGAUGAACUAUGGACCAUCGCGUCCCCUCGGGAUGAUGAACACUUAAAUUAUAGUUAAAAGUUCAAUCCAAUAAUCCUCAAUUAAUUACUCAAUGUACUAAAUACAUAUGUAUUCAAGUAGAAAUGUAUAAAGAUAAAGAGAAUGGUUAAGUAAGAAAAUUCACAAACUUGGAA